GUAGGUGGCAAGCGUUGUCCGGAAUUAUUGGGCGUAAGGCGCGCGCAGGCGGUUCUUUAAGUCUGAUGUGAAAGCCCACGGCUCAACCGUGGAGGGUCAUUGGAAACUGGAGAACUUGAGUACAGAAGAGGAAAGCGGAAUUCCACGUGUAGCGGUGAAAUGCGUAGAGAUGUGGAGGAACACCAGUGGCGAAGGCGGCUUUCUGGUCUGUAACUGACGCUGAGGCGCGAAAGCGUGGGGAGCAAACAGGAUUAGAUACCCUGGUAGUCCACGCCGUAAACGAUGAGUGCUAAGUGUUAGGGGGUUUCCGCCCCCCUUAGUGCUGCAGCUAACGCAUUAAGCACUCCGCCUGGGAGUACGGCCGCAAGGCUG
rnacentral:rRNA from 1 species